rnacentral:misc_RNA from 1 species
AAAUAGGAGUGCAGCAUAAUUCCGCUCAUCAAAAUUUGGAUAUUCGUAACAAGAGUGUGGAUGGUUUAAACUCAAGUUUUGUCGUAUGUUAGCAGUGUGUUGCAAUACAAAAUGUAGGUCUCCAGUUGAUAUGAGUAAUUGCCUGCCUGUGUUUCUUAUUUGGCUGCUUCACAAUUCACUAGACGUUUGAGUGUUCCUUGCUUGCACCAAAAUGUAACCUUAGACUCUUCUGUUCAUACUAAACAAUUUGUUAUCUGAACUUAUAAUUUGUAUUAGCCAUUACUGAAAUCCUUUUAUUCAGCUAAGGUUUGUAUUAAAGAUCUAAAAUGAAUGAAUAAAGUUGUCCGUUCUGUAACAGUUAAAGUUUUUUAGAUGAGGUGGUUCACACAGUUCAACAUAGUAUUAAAA